rnacentral:rRNA from 1 species
UGCCACCUGAACUAAAUAUGUGGUAAAUCCUGCCCAGUGAGACAUUCAACGGCCGCGGUAUCCUGACCGUGCAAAGGUAGCAUAAUCAUUUGCCUAUUAAUUGUAGGCUAGUAUGAAAGGACAAACGAGAAUACCCCUGUCUCCUUUAAGAGAAUAAAAAUUUAUCUUUAAGUGAAGAAGCUUAAAUACACAUGCAGGACAAGAAGACCCUAUAGAGCUUUACCUAAAGAGUACAAAUAAAGUAAUCUGCGGUUCGGUUGGGGCGACCAGGGGACAUCAAUCACCCCCAAAAAUCUAAGAUUUACCAAUCAUCAUAAAGAUCCUUACAUAAGAUCCAAGAAUCAAGCUACCUUAGGGAUAACAGGCUAAUCCCCUUAGAGAGCCCUUAUCGACAAGGGGGGUUGGCACCUCGAUGUUGGCUUAGGAUUUCUCCGUUGUCGCAGCCGACACGGUUAGAUGGUUUGUUCAACCAUUAAAUUCCU